GUGUCAGCAGCCGCGGUAAUACGGAGGGUGCAAGCGUUAAUCGGAAUUAUUGGGCGUAAAGGGCGCGUAGACGGGAAGGCAAGUCAGAUGUUAAAGCCCGGGGCUUAACCCCGGAAAAGCAUUUGAAACUGCCUUUCUUGAGGAUAGACGGAGAAAACGGAAUUCCACAAGUAGCGGUGAAAUGCGUAGAUAUGUGGAAGAACACCGGUGGCGAAGGCGGUUUUCUAGUUUAUACCUGACGUUGAGGCGCGAAAGCUAGGGGAGCAAACAGGAUUAGAUACCCUGGUAGUCCUAGCUGUAAACGAUGUAUACUUGGUGUAGCCGGAAUCAACCCUGGCUGUGCCGUAGCUAACGUGUUAAGUAUACCGCCUGGGGAGUACGCUCGCAAGGGUGAA
rnacentral:rRNA from 1 species